rnacentral:rRNA from 1 species
UAAGACAUGCAAGUCGAGCGAGAUUUUUCGUUGUAGCAAUACGAUGGAAAGUCUAGCGGCGAACGGGUGCUUAACACGUGGGCAACCUGCCAUGAAGUGGGGGAUAGCUCGCCGAAAGGCGAAUUAAUACCGCAUGUGAUUAGAGAGGACAUCCUUUCGAAAUUAAAGUCGGGGCAACCUGACGCUUCUUGUGGGGCCCGCGGCCUAUCAGCUAGUUGGUGAGGUAACGGCUCACCAAGGCUUUGACGGGUAGCUGGUCUGAGAGGACGACCAGCCACACUGGGACUGAGACACGGCCCAGACACCUACGGGUGGCAGCAGUCGAGAAUUUUUGACAAUGGGGGAAACCCUGAUCGAGCGACGCCGCGUGGAGGAUGAAGGUCUUCGGAUUGUAAACUCCUGUCAUUGGGGAACAAGGUGCAUACGUUAACUGCGUGUGCAUUGAUAGUACCCGAAGAGGAAGAGACGGCUAACUCUGUGCCAGCAGCCGCGGUAAUACAGAGGUCUCAAGCGUUGUUCGGAUUCAUUGGGCGUAAAGGGUGCGUAGGCGGCGCGGUAA